CUUAAUCGACCCCAACCACAAAGGCUCACCCGAACCGCGGCCUUGCCCAUAAGUCGCCAACAACGCCUGAGCCUC
rfam:Mycobacterium haemophilum strain TC3 contig_21, whole genome shotgun sequence.